GUUUUGGUAAACCAUUCUCUACAAGCAUGUGAAAAAAUAGGUCAUUAAAAUUUGGCUCCCCUUGUGAUGUCAGAAGGGGAUAUUACCGCCCUUAAUCUGCACUAUCCAACCACGGCACUGCCAUUUAGUGCCGAGAUCAGCUCAUUUGCAUGUAAAGGACACAUCCAAAAACGGCACAUUUUUGCUCACACCUAUAAAGUGGCAAAUGUAACAUGCUUUAAUAAAUGAAUGGGGUAUUUUGAGCUAAAACUUCACAUAUGUACUUUGGAAACACCAAAUAUUUCUUUUCCAUCUUAAAAAAAGUCUUGUGAAAUGUCCCCUUUAAUCCAAACAAUAGAGCCUGAUAAACAAUGCUGAUUUACAAGAAAACAUGUCAGAUAUACUUAAAAGCAUUUGCAUCUGAACUCCUCAUAUGUUUUAGAAAAAGUUUUACUAUUUAAUAUUAAAGAAAUACACUGGUAAUACAAAUAGCUGAUAUAACUAUGAAUGUAAUUGCAUCAAACCAAGGCGCAUGCACAAGGAAACACUUUUCAACCAAAAUAUUUAACUGAAAAAUGUUUGGGGGUCAUAUAUGAUGAAACAUCAGAAACAACAGUUUUGAGACCAAAAAAGUAUUUACAUGAAAACAAAGAUGUACAAAUGCAGCAUCAUUUGCAUAUGGUUUGAAAUGUUAUGAUCCACUGAUAUAGCAAAUCCAAUAUUUUUAUAGUUUUUGGCCCACUUUAUAGCUUACCAGAGCUCUACUGUAUGUGUGUUUUCCAGUAAGUCAGCACAGUUGGUGUCUGUCUGUAUUUAUACUCUGGGUUUGCAGUGUCAGGGGUUUUCCAGCAUGUGCUCCUCUGGAAGGGCACACGGGCGGUUCUGCAUUAGCUCUAAUGGCCGGAGGGGUCACAUUUAAAAUCAUAAUGGCUUUUCCGCUCCCCCCUCCUGCUGAGAAAAACGUCUCCAGCGCUUGCUCUCCUCACAGAGGUCGUCACACUCCAACUUCCCAAUAAAAGAUGCUGUUUUCAUUCUGUCAGCAUACGCUUUGAAGAAAAUUCACUUUGCACUUCCCCGCUAUGUUUCCUGGCCUCUUCUGUGACUUGUUCUGUUGUUCUCCGAGCAGUUUCUAACCCGCCAUCAUUAUAAUUGUGUUUUGUCACUGUGCUGUUUGUCAGACGGUAUAUGAGGGGGAGAUUGGGUGUUUAUUGUUUGACGAUGAUGAUUGAACCAGAAUAGAAAAAACGCAUUCUGAUCGUCUUGUUUUCAUUUCUAACGUGUUCAAUCUCUUAGGCAGAAAAUGUUUUUUUCAGCAUUACUUGCUGAUGAUCACUGACAGAUAAUAAUUAUGUUACAGUAUGUGCUAGUAUGAAUACUGCCGUAAUGUCAGCAUCUGAUAAGCAUAGCUCUUUUUCUCUAUUAUUCAUUUAGUUUGGAAAAUAUGGCUGUGUUUGCAAUAGUAUAGUAGUGAACUACAUACAGCACAUUACAUUUUAUGCCACAUAAUAUUUUUUAUAUUUAAAGUGCCAUUUUAUCCCCUAAAACUCAUUUUUGAGCACCAUAAUAGCAAAUGUAAACAUUUAUUUCUGUGAUAAUAAUUUCUUCACGCCUUAAAAUAGCUUGAAUGUAACUCUACACCAUUGCCUCAUCUAGUAUAUGUGGAUCUAUGAAUAUGCAAAUUAGUCCCCGUCUCUACUCAAUCACAUCAGCUUGAACCAUAGAUUUGGAUAUGCAAUGGCAAUUCGGACAUAUUUUACAAGGUGGCUAAUUUGUACGACCACAUUCGUAAAUGUUUGUACAAUUUGGUUUUGCCGCUGUGACGUUGGGGGUAGGGGCGGGGAUUCGUUAUGGUUUUAUUUUACGAAAAUCGUGUGGUCUUCUACGAUUCACUUCGCAGGAAAUUAUACGUUAUCGCCAACUUCUAAAAUGUCUACGAUUUCUUGUGAGAUCAGGCUGGAAUAUUCAAAUUAGUUCCCACCUCUGCUCAGACCAUAGAUAUAUAUGUACAUAGAUGCCACAUUUGGCAGUUCCAAAAACUUAGCUGCCGGUUUCACAAUGCAUACAUGAGCUGCGCGUUUGCAUAAUUCUUUUAUAGUUCUAAAUUUUUGCCCUGUGACAUUGGGGGUAGGGGCAGGGUUCAUUAUGGUUUUAUUUUAUGAUAAUCAUGUGUUUUUCUACCAUUCACUUCGUACGAUUCGCCAACUCGAAAAAUACCUACGAUAUCUUGUGAGAUUAGGCUGAAAAAUGCAAAUUAGUUCCCACCUCUACUCAAUCACACAGCUCAGACUAUAGAUAUAUAUGUACAUAGAUAACACAUUUGGAAGUUUCAAAAAACGUCACACUGGGGUUAGGGGCGGGGUUUCGUUUUGUUUUAUUUUAUGAUAACCGUGUUUUUCUAUGAUUCACUUCGUACGAAUUCGCCAACUCGUAAAAUACCUAUGAUAUCUCGUGAGAUUAAGAUAAAAUAUGCAAAUUAGUUUUCACCUCUACUCAAUCGCACAGCUCAGACCAUAGAUUUAUAUGUACAUAGAUGCCACAUUCGACAGUUCCAAAAACAUAGCUGCCGGUUCACAAUGCAUACAUGAGCUGCGAAUGUGCAGAAUACAUUUUUUAGCUUAAAUUUUCUGCUCCGUGACAAUGGGGUUAGGGGCGGGGUUUGUUAAGGUUUCAUUUUAUGAUAAUCAUGUGUUUUUUUAUGAUUCACUUCGUACAAAUUCGCUAACUCGUAAAAUACCUACGAUAUCUCGUGAGUUCAGGCUUAUAUAUGGAAAUUAGUUCCCGUCUCUACUCAAUCGCACAGCUCAGACCAUAGAUAUAUAUGUACAUAGAUGCCACAUGCGGGAGUUCAAAAAACGUAGUUGCCGGUUUCACAAUGCAUACAUGAGCUGCUAGUUUGCAGCAUUAUUUUUAGCUAAAAAAAAUUCCCCUGUGAUGUUGGGGUUAGGGGUGGGGUUCAUUAUGGUUUUAUUUUAUGAUAAUCGUGUGUUUUUCUAACAUUCACUUCGUACGAUUCGCCAACUUGAAAAAUAAUUACGAUAUCUUGUGAGAUUAGGCUGAAAUAUGCAAAUUAGUUCCCACCUCUACUCAAUCACACAGCUCAGACUAUAGAUAUAUAUGUACAUAGAUGCCACAUUUGGAAGUUCCAAAAACGUAGCUGCCAGUUUCACAAUGCAUACAUAAGCUGCGCAUUUGCAACAUAAUUGUUUAGCUUUAAUUUUUUGCCCCAAGACGUUGGCGUUAGGAGCGGGGUUUCAUUUCGGUUAUAUUUUAUGAUAAUCGUGUGUUUUCUACGAUUCACUUCGUACAAAUUCGCCAACUCAUAAAAUACCUACGAUAUCUCAUGACAUCAGGCUGAAAUAUGAAAAAUUAUUUCCCGUAUAUACUCAAUCGCACAGCUCAGACCAUAGAUAUAUAUGGACAUAGAUGCCACAUUCAGCAGUUCCAAAAACGUAGCUGCCAGUUUCACAAUGUAUACAUGAGCUGUGCAUUUGCAACAAUUUUUUUAGCUCAAAUUUUUUGCCCGUGACGUUGGGGGUAGGGGAGGGGUUUGUUAUGGUUUUAUUUUAUAAUAAUCGUGUUUUUCUACGAUUUACUUCGUACGAAUUUGCCAACUCGUAAAAUAACUAAAAUUUCUCGUGAGAUCAUGUGGAUAUUAGUUCCCGCCUCUACUCAAUCGCAGAGCUCAGACCAUAGAUAUAUAUGUACAUAGAUGCCACAUUCGGCAGUUCCAAAAACGUAGCUGCCGGUUUUACAAUGCAUACAUGAGCUGCGCGUUUGAAGCAUAAUUUUUUUUAUCUCAAUUUUUUUUGCCCCUCUGAUGAUGCACGGUUCAUUAUGGUUUUAUUUUAUGAUAAUUGUGUGUUUUUCUACAAUUCACUUCAUACGAAUUGGUCAACUGUCGACUAUAGAUAUAUAUGUACAUAGAUGCCACAUUCUGCAGUACCAAAAACAUAGCUGCAGCACAAUUUUUUUAGCUCUGAUGUUAACAGGUAAGCAUGUGUGAGCAGCGAGUGCUCGCGUCACAGAAGUAGAGCUAAAGCAGCUGUGCUGCGAGCUGUGUGCGAGUCUAUGCAUCCAUACAUAUCUAUGGCUCAGACUGGCUGAUCCACUCGUUCAACUGUUGAUGUGAUUGGUCGCAUGUUUGUGACGUAAAAAACUGAUGCGAUUUCAAACCGUGCUUUGGAAAACUGCACAUUUAUGAUGAAAAUACUCAGCAAGGGAGAUUGCUGAAAUGAUGAAUUUGAAAACUUGAUUUUCACCACAGGGGGAGUUAAAGCAGUUUAGAAUGAAUGAAUAAGCUACAAAAUGAUGUGCUAAAUUUUAUUACAGGUUGAGUCCUAAGUCACAGUGCCUAUGGUUAAUGUAACAUGAAUAGCCGAUAUGGAAGUUGACCGUAUCCUUCAUACAGUAUACUCAUAUGCCACAUAUAGUAUCCCUGUGUUCCAUGCAUAUUAAAUAUGUAAACUGUGCACAGUAUACACACUACUAAAAGUAUGAAAGUAUGUUAUUCCAAACACAGCCAUUGUCCAGUCCUAAGAUAAUAUAAUCCUCUCCAAGCAUACGCUCAACAGCUAUUCACCUCCCGCUUUGCGACACCGGAUCUCAAAUGACAAUAUGCGAUUGAAUUAGUUGGCAGUGAUGAAUGCUUUGUGUGCAAAAAGUAACAUACCUGAUCUAUACCACCUACAGUGUCUACUUUCUUUCCAAUGCAGAUUCAUACAAUAGGUAUGAGAUCGGUGAGUUCUUGGGCCUGCGUGGUCAGUCGGUGUGUUUGUACGGAUGACAGAUGAGCUAUUAAGGAAAAACAAGAAUGUAAAAGAGGGAGACAGGAUCUACCCUUCCAUCAAUGAAAUGAUGCCAGGCAAUAUUUACUGUCCUCUUCAGAGUGAACGCUGCGGUCGGCCCAAGUCUCCUGUAGUUCUUUUAGCAUAUAUGAAGAAAAAUAACAUCUGCGAGUAUUCUGCACAGGCAGGAGAGAUCAUUCAUUGUAUCUAAUAAUAAUGCACAUGUACAGGCGUGCACCACAGUCUAUUUUAUUUCUGUUCUCAUGCUUUGCAGAAGUCAUUAAAAACUGCAUCUCUCGCCUCAAACGCGUGCUUGUGUAUCUGAAGAAAAAAAAACAUUCACCAUCUCUGCCUCCAGAUUUGCAGGUUGCUUUGAUUGUUGUCAAUACUGAUCAAUGUUUUCAUGAUAAUGUCAUCUGUACAAUUUGUAUAUUAUAAUAAAUAUGAUUUAUAUUUGA